CAGUAGCCGCGGUAAUACGUAGGGUGCGAGCGUUAAUCGGAAUUACUGGGCGUAAAGCGUGCGCAGGCGGUUUUGUAAGACAGGCGUGAAAUCCCCGGGCUCAACCUGGGAAUGGCGCUUGUGACUGCAAAGCUAGAGUGCGGCAGAGGGGGAUGGAAUUCCGCGUGUAGCAGUGAAAUGCGUAGAUAUGCGGAGGAACACCGAUGGCGAAGGCAAUCCCCUGGGCCUGCACUGACGCUCAUGCACGAAAGCGUGGGGAGCAAACAGGAUUAGAGACCCGAGUAGUCCAUGUCUCUUAUAA
rnacentral:rRNA from 1 species